rnacentral:tRNA from 1 species
ACAUUGCCGUUGCAAAAGACUAUAGACAAAAAGGCGUUGGAACAGCAUUAUUACAUAAAGCGAUUGAGUGGGCAAAG